rnacentral:rRNA from 1 species
CACGAAGUUAGCCGGGGCUUCUUCUUCAGGUACCGUCAUUAUCUUCCCUGACGAAAGAGCUUUACAAUCCUAAGGCCUUCAUCACUCACGCGGCAUGGCUGGAUCAGGGUUGCCCCCAUUGUCCAAUAUUCCCCACUGCUGCCUCCCGUAGGAGUCUGGGCCGUGUCUCAGUCCCAGUGUGGCUGAUCAUCCUCUCAGACCAGCUACUGAUCGUCGGCUUGGUGAGCCGUUACCUCACCAACUACCUAAUCAGACGCGGGCCAAUCCUUUGGCGAUAAAUCUUUCCCCCGAAGGGCACAUCCGGUAUUAGCUGAAAUUUCUCUCAGUUAUUCCGAACCAAAGGGUAUGUUCCCACGCGUUACUCACCCGUCUGCCACUCCCGUAUUGCUACGAGCGUUCGACUUGCAUGUGUUAAGCCUGCCGCCAGCGUUCGUUCUGAGCCAGGAUCAAACUCU